AAUGACAACAAAGGGGAUGGAUUAUGUAUCCAGCGUAGCCGUGAAGAUUCUCAGAGAUAAAGUUCGAGGCAUGCACAUAAAUGAUGCUUCUGGCGAAGCAGAUAUUAAAGUUGGCAAAGUGAAAUACAGUUUUACUGGAAUGAAACUCGAUGGCUUCUCAGGUCUUGAUACUAAAGUUCAUCCUAUAGCAGGGAGAGGUUUGGAGUGGACAGCUAAUAUUGGCAACAUUAACAUAAAUGGCGACUGGAGAUACGAAGUGAGAGUGAUCUUCAAGAUCAAAGAUCAUGGUACCUUUACGGCUUCUGUUUCUGAAGUGAGAUUUAAGAUGGGCGUCUCACUCGACCACGAUCCUCAGGGCCAUCUCACAAUAAAAAGCACAAGUUGUAACGCGUAUGUCGGUGGAGCUAGAGUGAGAUUUAGCGGAGGUGCCAGCUGGCUCUACAAUCUCUUCUCGCACAACGUCGAGAAAACACUCAAAAAAGAGUUGACAGAUAUUUAAGUGUUAGACUUGGAGAUCAUAAUGAAAUGAUGUUGGACUACGGACUAACUGCUGCUCCGAAUUUCGCAGCUGAUCACAUGGAAACGUAUCACAAGGGAGAGGUUCAUUGGGCAACAGGUGGGAAGAGAAGUUCAGCCUCGAGACCCGCUCCAUUUCCCGAUAGCACAGAGAGCACAAGCAUGCUGUACGUCUGGGCUUCCGAUUAUGUUCUACGUACUUUAGCAGACACUGCACAGACCCAUGGCAUAUUGCAGCAAAAAGUAAACCCUAAAGAUUUUCCCCUUGAGCAGAGAGGCGCUUUUAAUACCACUUGUCACGUAGGGCUGUGUAUAGGUGGCGUAAUUCCGGAGCUUGGGAAAAAGUUUCCAAAUACGACAGUAUCCUUGGGGCUGGCAAGCAAAGCCACACCAAAUGUUACUAUAACUCCUGAUGGUGUACAUUUACGUUUCCAAGGAAACAUCGAUUUCUCGGCGAAUCUACCUAACGGGGUAGAGAAACAUGCUUUCUCUGCAAAUACGAGUUUGUUCCUCGUGGCCAAUGCUUCUGUUAACACACAGACCAACAAAGUUACUUCACAGAUUGUCCACCAAAGGGUGAAGAUUGGUGUAUUGGAGUCGGCCAUUGGUAACAUAAGUGACGCUGGGUUGCAAUUCGCUGUCUCGACCAUCUUGAGGAUUUUCGUCAUCCCAAAACUCAACGAGCUCGGGGGAAAGGGGAUGCCCGUUCCAAAUUUUGGUCCUGUGAAAUUGCUUAACCCACAGUUACAUCUGCUCCAGAAUGCAAUCAUGGUGAAGACCGAUGCACGAUAUGUUCCUAAAGAUACAACACUUUAUUACUGAUAAUGAACAAUUUGAAACAGGGAAAAGAUGAGAAAAGAGGAUAAAAUGCUAAAACAGACGGAUUCUUCGUCAUAAGUGGCUAUUAGAGAGGAUGAAAUGCUUAACUACGAGACGGAUUCUUCGUCAUAACUCGCUAUUAGAGUUCCUCCACAGUGCAUUUUAUAACACUUCGAUUUCAAACUAUUGAUAGCUCUUCCUGUAUUUAUACAUUCUUGUAAUUUACAAUGCUAAUAACGUGAUGUAUGCAUUUUAUUUCGUUAUCAAGAAUGUUCAAAUUACGAACGAUGAGAACUUAUACUUGAAACAUUGAGGUUUGCACAGAUGAUCAACAUUCCGGCUAACCCUGUUUAUUUGCUCUACUUUGAUUGUAGAUGUCACCUAAGUAGUCCAAUUUGCUUGUGCCCUUUUUGAUUAGUAUUAUUAGUAUGAUAGUAUGAUAUGCAUGAAUAAAA
rnacentral:misc_RNA from 1 species